AACGCACCUUGCGCUCCUUGGUAUUCCGAGGAGCAUGCCUGUUUGAGUGCCAUGAAAUCAUCAACCCUUCAAUUCCUUGUUGAAUUGUAAGGUGCUUGGAUUCUGAACGUUGCUGGCUUGAAGCGGCCUCGGCUGCUUCGAAAGCGUAGCUCGUUCGUAAUACAUUAGCAUCUCAAUUUCGAGUAUUCGGAUUGACUCGGCGUGAUAGACUUAUCGUCGGGGAUCUCUGUAAAAGGAGAGCCAUGUGGUGAGCUGGCCGCCUCUAACCAUGACCUAGUCAAUCUGUCUCUUAGACCUCAGAUCAGGCAGGACUACCCGCUGAACUUAA
rnacentral:rRNA from 1 species